rnacentral:rRNA from 1 species
AACGAACGCUGGCGGCAGGCCUAACACAUGCAAGUCGAACGCCGUAGCAAUACGGAGUGGCAGACGGGUGAGUAACGCGUGGGAACCUUCCCUAUGGUUCGGAAUAGCUCAGGGAAACCUGGGGUAAUACCGGAUAAGCCCUUCGGGGAAGGAUUAUCGCCAUUGGAUGGGCCCGCGUAGGAUUAGCUAGUUGGUGAGGUAACGGCUCACCAAGGCGACGAUCCUUAGCUGGUCUGAGAGGANGAUCAGCCACACUGGGACUGAGACACGGCCCAGACUCCUACGGGAGGCAGCAGUGGGGAAUAUUGGACAAUGGGCGGAAAGCCUGAUCCAGCCAUGCCGCGUGAGUGACGAAGGCCUUAGGGUUGUAAAGCUCUUUUGGCGGGAAGAUAAUGACGGUACCCGCAGAAUAAGCUCCGGCUAACUUCGUGCCAGCAGCCGCAGUAAU